CCGGCAGCACGCGGCGGGGCCGGCAGCGGGGAGGAUGCCGCCUGGAGCAGAGCGGGGUGCCGGGGCCCGCGGCCGGGACCCCCCUGCGGUGCUGCCCCGGGCCCGGGACGGCGCCCGGCAGAGGCCCAUCGGUUUUCUCGCCCACCCAAAAGCCAACGGCCAGACCGCCCGCACCAGGGCCUCGGUGUACCGGACGGACAAACUGCCUCCAGAGCCCCACAGAUUCACAACCCCAGUCUUAACUGUGAGACAAGAAGAACUUUCUCAACCCAAAAAAUUGCACCCAGAUUAUGAAGA